AUUGAACGCUGGCGGCAUGCUUUACACAUGCAAGUCGAACGGACACAGGCCGAACUGUGCUGUCGAGUGGUGAACGGGUGCGUAAUGCUUCGGCACGUGCACCGUCGCGGGGGAUAACUACUCGCAAGAGUAACUCAUACCGCAUACGAUCUAUGGAUGAAAGCGGCGGAGUGUAAUAGUUCGAGCGGUUGGUGCGGUCGAUGUCAGAUUAGGUAGUUGGUGGGGUAAAGGCUCACCAAGCCAACGAUCUGUAGCUGGUCUGAGAGGACGACCAGCCACACUGGGACUGAGACACGGCCCAGACUCCUACGGGAGGCAGCAGUGGGGAAUUUUGGACAAUGGGCGCAAGCCUGAUCCAGCAAUGCCGCGUGCAGGAAGAAGGCCUUCGGGUUGUAAACUGCUUUUGUACGGAACGAAACGGCUCUGGUUAAUACCCGGGGCUAAUGACGGUACCGUAAGAAUAAGCACCGGCUAACUACGUG
rnacentral:rRNA from 1 species